rnacentral:lncRNA from 1 species
AAUGUAUCCAAGUACUCUGAGAGACCAACUCCUACAGAUCCAGGAAGGGUGCCAUUCCCUCUAAGGACACUACUGAUAAGAUCUGGCCCACCCAGGAUCAUCUUUCUAUCUUCAAGUGAACUGAUUUGGGACAUUAUUCACAUCUACAAAAUCCCUUCACAGGAGCACCUAAGUUUCGUGUUUGAACAGCUGGAAAAAGAUGGAGACUCGUUAUCUUACUGGUCUCAAACUCCUGGGCUCAAGUGAUCCUCCUGCCUUGGCCUCCUUCCUAAAGUGCUUACAGGCCAAGUGCAGUGGCUCACACCGUCACUUUGGGAGGCCAAGGGAGGUGGAUUGCUUGAGGUCAGGAGUUCAAGACCAGCCUGACUAACACGGUGAAACCCUGUCUCUACUAAAAAUACAAAAAUUAGCUGGGCAUGGUGGUUGGUGUCUGUAAUCUCAGUCACUCAAGAGGCUGAGGCAGGAGUAUCACUUGAACCCAGGAGGCGGAGGUUUUAGUGAGCCAAGAUCCUGCCACUACACUCCAACCUGGGUGAUAGAGCGAGACUCCGUCUCAAACAAACAAAAAGAAAACGAAUAAUCUCCAUUCUCUUUUUUGCUGCAUCAGCUU